rnacentral:rRNA from 1 species
UACGGAGGGUGCAAGCGUUGUCCGGAUUUAUUGGGUUUAAAGGGUGCGUAGGCGGCUUUUUAAGUCAGUGGUGAAAGACAACAGCUCAACUGUUGCAGUGCCAUUGAUACUGAAGAGCUUGAGUACAGAUGAGGUAGGCGGAAUUUAUGGUGUAGCGGUGAAAUGCAUAGAUACCAUAAAGAACACCUAUUGCGAAGGCAGCUUACUAGCUGUAACUGACGCUGAGGGCACGAAAGUGUGGGGAUCAAACCAGGG